UACGAAGGGUGCAAGCGUUACUCGGAAUUACUGGGCGUAAAGCGUGCGUAGGUGGUUUGUUAAGUCAGAUGUGAAAGCCCUGGGCUCAACCUGGGAACUGCAUUUGAUACUGGCAGGCUAGAGUGCGGUAGAGGGUAGCGGAAUUCCCGGUGUAGCAGUGAAAUGCGUAGAGAUCGGGAGGAACACCCGUGGCGAAGGCGGCUACCUGGACCAGCACUGACACUGAGGCACGAAAGCGUGGGGAGCAAACAGG
rnacentral:rRNA from 1 species